rnacentral:rRNA from 1 species
CUACGGGGGGCUGCAGUGGGGAAUAUUGGACAAUGGGCGAAAGCCUGAUCCAGCCAUGCCGCGUGUGUGAAGAAGGCCUUCGGGUUGUAAAGCACUUUCAGUGGGGAAGAAAGCCUUGGGGCUAAUACCCUCGAGGAAGGACAUCACCCACAGAAGAAGCACCGGCUAACUCCGUGCCAGCAGCCGCGGUAAUACGGAGGGUGCGAGCGUUAAUCGGAAUUACUGGGCGUAAAGCGCGCGUAGGCGGUCUGAUAAGCCGGUUGUGAAAGCCCCGGGCUCAACCUGGGAACGGCAUCCGGAACUGUCAGGCUAGAGUGCAGGAGAGGAAGGUAGAAUUCCCGGUGUAGCGGUGAAAUGCGUAGAGAUCGGGAGGAAUACCAGUGGCGAAGGCGGUCUUCUGGACUGACACUGACGCUGAGGUGCGAAAGCGUGGGUAGCAAACAGGAUUAGAUACCCGAGUAGUC